GACGAACGCUGGCGGCGUGCCUAACACAUGCAAGUCGAGCGGGGAUUUAAGUGGAAGUUCUUCGGAAUGGAGAUUUAAAUUCUAGCGGCGGACGGGUGAGUAACGCGUGAACAAUCUGUCCCGGACAGGGGGAUAACGCUUGGAAACAGGUGCUAAUACCGCAUAAGACCACGGCCUCGCAUGGGGCUGAGGUAAAAGGAGCAAUCCGGUUCGGGGUGAGUUCGCGUCCGAUUAGCUAGUUGGUGAGGUAACGGCCCACCAAGGCGACGAUCGGUAGCCGGCCUGAGAGGGUGAACGGCCACAUUGGAACUGAGAGACGGUCCAAACUCCUACGGGAGGCAGCAGUGGGGAAUAUUGGGCAAUGGGCGAAAGCCUGACCCAACAACGCCGCGUGAGGGAAGAAGGUUUUCGGAUUGUAAACCUCUGUCCUAUGGGACGAAGGAAGUGACGGUACCAUAGGAGGAAGCCCCGGCUAACUACGUG
rnacentral:rRNA from 1 species